rnacentral:rRNA from 1 species
UACGGGGGGGGCGAGCGUUGUUCGGAAUUACUGGGCGUAAAGGGUUUGUAGGUGGCCUGCUAAGUCAGACGUGAAAUCCCUCAGCUUAACUGGGGAACUGCGUCUGAUACUGGCGGGCUUGAGGACAGGAGAGGAACGCGGAAUUCCAGGUGUAGCGGUGAAAUGCGUAGAUAUCUGGAAGAACACCUAUGGCGAAGGCAGCUCUCUGGGACGGUACUGACGCUGAGACGCGAAAGCGUGGGGAGCGAACAGG